ensembl:snRNA U6 U6 spliceosomal RNA
GUGCUCGCUUCAGUAGCACAUACACAGAAAUUGGAAUGCUGUAGAGGAGAUUAGCGUGGCUCCUGCAUAAGGAUGCCACCCAAAUUCGUAAAGUGCUCCAUAUUUUU